rnacentral:rRNA from 1 species
AUUGAACGCUGGCGGCAGGCUUAACACAUGCAAGUCGAACGAGUGGCGGACGGGUGAGUAAUGUCUGGGAAACUGCCCGAUGGAGGGGGAUAACUACUGGAAACGGUAGCUAAUACCGCAUACCAUCAGAUGUGCCGAGAGUGGAUUAGCUAGUUGGUGGGGUAACGGCUCACCAAGGCGACGAUCCCUAGCUGGGCUGAGAGGAUGACCAGCCACACUGCAACUGGUACACUGUCCAGACUCCUACGGUAGGCAGCAGUGGGGAAUAUUGCACAAUGGGCGAAAACCUGAUGCAGCCAUGCCGCUGGUAUGAUGAAGGCCUUCGGGUUGUAAAGUACUUUCAGCGGGGAAGCGUUACCCGCAGAAUAAGCACCGGCUAACUCCGUGCCAGCAGCCGCGGUAAUUC